CCAUCUUUUUAUCUUUGUUUUUAGGUACAAUUCAUAUAGUUCCAUAACUCUAUGCCAUGCUUUUGGAUUAUCUUGAAUUAUGGUUUCCCUAGUUGUUAUUGGCUAUAUGGUCUUGCCAUCUGACUUUUACCACUUGAUUUACUAUUCCUAGGCUUUCUCUUCGUUUUCUUUGUACCAUUGAGUUGGCAUUUGUAACUAACUUUUGUGUGACCCAAUGUACCGCAUCUUUUGCACCUACGUUUUCCUCUUACCAUCGUUUUGGGCUUUUCUUGUUCAGUUGGUUUUGCCUUUGAACUGAUGCCACCUUCAUCAUGUUUUGUCUCUGAACUGUUGCCGCCUUGAAGGGAACUUUUGAACCUCAAAUUUCUGUCUGCCAACAGUUCUUUUGCAAAUUGGUGCACCCAUAUCAAAUGGAAUUUCUACUGUGGGCCAUUGUGACUUGUCAGGCAGUGGCUCUAUCAAUCUUUUAUAUGCCUAUCUGAACAUUGGAACAGAGUAGUAUUCAUGAACAAAUCCUCAAGCUUCACAUUUCUGUUUUGCACUGCUGUUAGCAAGGCCAAUGCAUGCUCGCAAGGCUUGCCAGUAUGUUGCUACUCUUCACAAGUGCAGUCAUGUAAAUGUUCCUUGAUAGCAUGUCGAUCAUGAUGAUUGUGGCUGCUGUCGUACACCUCUGCAUCAUGUAAGUCAGCUUUCACAACAUUUAAGUGUCCCAACCCUCUAGUUCUUGCAUUCAAUUGGUGGAGGACAGCUGGUAGUAUCUUGCCUUGAAGUCGUUCUCCAAUUUUUCUUAUCUUCUCCCGUGGUAUCAUUAUCAUUUCCCUUAUCUUAUCAACAUGAUCAGUCACUGGCAAGUCCUUUAUGUCUCUACUCUCUAAUCCAAUUGUUGAAACACUCCGCUAGAUUGUUAGUAAUAUAAUCACACUUAAUUUCUUGGUUGAAGUCACAUCUCAUCCAUUUCAGUGAAUGGUGUUCAUCAAGUCUCAACUGCAGGGUACAUACGUGAAUAAAUGACACCACUAUAUCUCUUCAUAAAGUUUUGCGUGAGGUACCUAAAACAUUCCCUUUGAUUUGCAUAAGGAAACACUUGUACCACUGCCUUUUCUAAUCCCUUACAAGCAUCUGUGCAAAUUGCUAGCUGGGGCAUGUCUCCUAUAGCCCUACGCAACUGCUUCAUAAACCAAACCCAGUUAUACUCUGGUUCAGAUUGUAUUAAUCCAAAUGCAACAGGAUACAUCCAGUUAUGACCAUCUAUAUCUGUUACUGAUUCCAAUUGGCCGUUCCACCUACCAUUUAGUGCAGAUAAGGCCUACAUCCUGCUAAAAAACCCUCAAUGCAAGGAGCAAGUGCACAAUAAAAUCGAGUUAGAGGGGCGACCUAUCUUUGGUUAGCAGUUCGAACAGCCGAAAUACGUAAACAAAACCACAUAGCAGAAUAGAUUAUAUACCUUAGGUUCAUGUCCCAAGAGUUGGAGGUGGGUUCCAUGUCCAAAUCUGGCAUAGCACCACCUCUCCAUGGGCAAUGGAUCACAGAUUUAGAGCCAACAUCACAAAAUCUAUUGGUUCAUGCGUCCAAAAAAACAAGGGAUUUUAGAAAUCGAAGGUGGAUAACAGAAACAGAGGGAAUACAACUGGAACACCAUUCUUACCUCAAAUCUGCUGCCUGUGGGCUUGGAGGAGAACCAAAUGUUGAGUUAUGCGUGCUUGAGUGUCCAAUCCUCUGUGCGCCGCCGGGGAGAACACAACGCUCGUUCAUUUUUAGUCCAAGCAAACGGAGGCAAGAUGACCGUAUCUUGACCUAAGGACAGAGCUAUUUUUUCCCGUGGCUGAAGAGCUGUAAAAGAACAAGUUGAUGGAUUAUAUGAGGCUGGAUGGCAUAACAACAGUGAGGAUCAUUUGAUAGUGGCAAUGCAGCGAAGCCACCUUUCUGGGGUGGUGAUCUUGCAAAUUUCUCAGUUCUGGACAUCAACGACGUUGUCCUGGAGAACGGAGGAUGCGGGCGCGGGACGAAGAGUGGACUACUGUCCAUGCAUGGAUGCCGACUUUUCGGCGUCACAAUCGAUCAGCGCCAAGAAUGAUGAAGACACGAGCUUGGUAGAUGGAAGGAUUAGCAACGCCAAGGCGUCAAUGCUAUGCAAGAAGAACAUGCGAUGCGAGCAAAGCACCACCAACAAUUUUUUAUUUUUUUAUUUUUUUAUCGAACACGCAGGAGAACUGCACAUCUUAUAUAUUAGAGAGGAAUAAAAAACCUUACAAAAAGGAGAUUUUGCUGGGCAAGUCUCUCAAGGCCCCCACACAAAAACCCGAAGGAAAUUACAAACUGGAACCGUAACUUGACCCGACCUCGGCCAGAGCUACAACUAAGCCUAGGCUCUCAAGCUCCUUAGCUCCUGCUAUUGCCCAGCUAACACACUCAUCUUUGUUUUUAUAAUGAUAGAUGAGAAGGUUGAGUUCUAUAGUUCUUUUAUCUUUGUUUUUCAGGUACAAUUCUUAUAGUUCUUUUUAUCUUUGUUUUUAGGUACAAGUCAUAUAGUUCCAUAACUCUAUGCCAUGCGUUUGGAGUAUCUGGAGCGAUACAGCACUUGGCAGGAAUGAUCGAAUGAGACUCGAAGGUUAAUAAAGAUGUUGAUGCCCCCAUAUUUCAGGUUGCAGAUUACGGAGUGGUUGCUGAUCUGUUUGAGGUUCUGGAUGAGUUACUGAAGCAGAUCCCAAAGAAGAAAUAAGCGACCGUUAAUUUGUUGCUGAUGUUUUCCCUUUUUCUGAAGAAGGAACCUUUGGAAUAUUGGUGAUUGGCCUGAAGAAGGUAGAAAGGGUGGUCUGGAUCAACGACAAAGGUUAAAUAAGACAAUUUUCUUGUUUUUUUCUUCUCUUUUUCUCUAUAAUACCAUAGCUUCAGCAAAACUGGAUCAGUCAAUCUUCAAUAUUAAAAAGGGCAGGCCCGCUGCCGGAGGCUCCCACAUGAGUGGGGUCUAUGAAGCAGUCAUAAUGCACAGAGAGAUGCAAUAGUAACUCUUAAACAAAAAUGUUAUGUAGAACAAUGAUAUAUUAUAUAUACCAUCUGCGUUUGGGAAUAAUGGAAUAGCCUGUGGAACCUCCUCAUCAGAUUCAUCAUCUGAAAUAUCAAUCGCCAUAUUGCUUAUGCCAAGUGAUAAAAAACAUUAGGGAUGUUCAAUACUGAAAGAAGAGGAUCAUUACCUUCUUUGGUACUUGUGACACUGUCAUAUGUGAUAAAAAGACAGAAGCGGUUAAGGAAAAGAAAUUUGUGUUCCAGCUUCUCUAAAAAUAUUGAACAAAGUAAAAUGAAAGGUUAUUUUCUCUUGCAAUGCCAAAAUUUCUAGCCAAGGGCAGAGAUGGUGCUGGUUUUUGAGGUGACAUCCAGGGCAAGAGUAGGUUCCACUUUCAAGCUUUUUGGCCUAAAUUGGAGGGUUUCCAGGAUGUGGUGGCUACUUGGCCCUCGAUUUCUGAUGGUCAGUGCCCUCUAGCUACCCUAUCUUGAAAAUAAGGGUUGUUGCUCGUGGGUUGCAGAGUUGGAGUGAUAAAAAGGUGGGGCAUGUGAAAAAUCAACUUGAUUUAGCUAAAGAGCUCUUGCAUCAACUUGAAAUAGCCCAAGGUUGUUGAAGAAACACAGUCUUGCUUUGGCAUCCUUCUGAAAUCUCGCAUUGGAUGGCUAAAAGAUGGGGAUGCCAACACCUGUUUGUUCCAUUCUUAUGGUAGGUACCGAAAAAGGAAGAAUUUUAUACCCACUUACCUAGUAUCACUACUAUAGAUGAUAGAGUGCUGACUGUGCAUGAGGAUAAAGCAACAGAAUUUCUCAACUUCUAUAACGGGUUGCUGGUUACAGUGGAGCUUAGAGACACUACCAUUGACCUUGAUGCGCUGAGGAUUCCUUUCUCAUGAUUUGUCUGCUCUUGAAGUACCCAUUUCGGAGGUGGAGGUGUGGAACACCAUCGAGCACCUUCUUUCGGAAAGGCCCCGGGGCUGGAUGGCUUCACUGGGUGCUUCUAUAAAUUUUACUGGCCGAUUAUUAAGGGGAGUGUCAUGGCUGCUAUCUCUUGUGUGUGGGCUCAGAAAUUCAGGAAUAUGGAGCUUUUGAAUUCAGCCUUCAUCUCGCUGUUGCCUAAAAAGGUUGAUGCCCAACAUGUUUAGGACUUUCAACCUAUUAGCCUUGUGCAUAGCUUUGCUAAGCUCAUUACAAAAAAUUUGGCCAAUAGGUUGGCCGGUAAGCUGCAAAUGAUGGUCUCUCCUAAUCAAACAGCCUUUACCAAGAAGAGAUUUAUUUAGGAUAACUUUAUGUUAGUGCAACAAACGACCAGAUUUCUUAACGAUCAGAAACAACCUAGAAUCCUUUUUAAACUUCACAUUUCAAAGGCUUUUGAUUCAGUCUCUUGGGCUUUCCUUCUUGAGGUCCUGAGGAAACUUGGUUUUGGUGUCAUUUGGUGUGACUUGAUUAGUGGGCUUUUCGCUUCUUCAUCGACAAGAAUUAUUUAGAAUGGUGUGCCUGGUGACUACAUUGCCCAUCGACGAGGAUUAAUGCAGGGUGAUCCCCUAUCCCCUAUGCUUUUCAUCCUCGUCAUGGAUGUUCUUUCUCACCUUCUACGGCGUGCUUUUGAGGAUGGCCUUCUACAACUUUCUUCGCUUACAACACCGUAUGUCUCUUUAUGCCGAUGAUGCAGUGGUCUUCUUAAAACCUAUCCUAUCGGACAUCAUUUUGACUGUGAACCUCCUGACACUGUUUGGCAAUGCUUCGGGAUUGAAGACUAAUGUGGAAAAAAGUAGUGUUUUUCCUAUUCGUUGUACUAAUGAGGAGGUCGAAGUCAUCUAGGAGCUGCUGCCCUGUGGGGUUUCAGAAUUCCCUUGCAAAGCCUCCCAUUGUCUCUCAAGAAACUUAAUACAGAUCAAUUACAAGCCAUCAUCGAUCGUACUGUGGAUAUGUGGCCAGGAUGGAAGGCGGAGCUUAUGUCUAGGGCUGGUUGUGCCACUUAUGUCUAGUGUGUGCUAACAACUAAAGUUAUUUACCCAGCUAUGGCUUUGGAUCUACUUGGUUGGGUUCUUAAAGCUAUCGAUAAGCUGCGUAAAGGUCUUUUGUGGAAAGGAAGAAAAGAAGUAAAAGGUGGCUACUAUCUGCUAUCUUGGCCUAAGAUCACUAGGCCAAAGGAGUUGGGUGGCUUGAGUAUUCAUGAUCUGCAAAAGCUUGGGUGGGCUCUUCGGGUCAGAUGGCUAUGGUUGCAAAUGACGGAGCCCCCUAGACCUUGGUCUGAAUUUCAAGUUCAGAUUUGUGAUAUUGUCAAAAAACUUGUUUCGGUGGCUGUGAUUUCGCAAGUGGGCAAACACAAUGAUACUCUUUUUUGGGCUGACAAUUGGUUACAUGGAAGGAGUGUAAAAGGCUAAAAGCUCUUGCUCCGAUUGUUUUUGCUUUAGUCUCCAAGCGUAUUGCUAUCAAGAGGCUGGUUAGUGAUCAUAUGUGGGUCAGUGACAUUCGAGGUGCCCUUAUGGCCAGAGUUAUUUGGGAGUUCGUGGAGCUAUUUCAGAUAGUUGAUGAUGUUAUUCUCCAACCUGAGAUUCCUGACGCUCAUAUUUGGAGUCUUUCCCUUCUGGACAGUUCUCCACUAAAUCUGCCUAUGAUGCUUUAUGCUUCGUUUGGAUGUCGAUAUUGAAGGGCAUGGAAUUGAAUUGAGUUCAAUACCUAAUCAGUCAUGGUAUCGAAAUAAUAUGUGAUUCCAAUUCUAUUAUUUCGAUGUCGCUGGAUUGGGGUUUGGAAUUGUGCGGUCUAAUUCCAUGCAAUACAGAGGGGUGACGUUCGGUAUUGGGAGGAGUUUCUAGUUAUAGUCCAAUUCCAGGGAAUUGAGUCUCUGGUUCCAAAUCUCAAUUUUGUGUGCAACCAAACGACAUAAUUUAGGAAAGGUGAUUCCAAUUCUCAAUUCUAUGCUCUAAUAUCGACAUCCAAACGAGCUAUUAUAUUUUUUUGGUUUAACCUCUUUUGAUUCUUCUGAUAGAAUACGGAAGACAUGGGCUCCGACAAAUGUAGAUUCUUCAUAUGGUUGGUUGAACAUGACUGAUGUUGGACUGCUGACCAAGCUUGCUAGGCGCGAGUUGCCUCACUCCGAGCGAUGCCCCUUGUUUGAUCAGGAAGAGGAAUCCAUCGAACACCUGUUGGCUUCUUGCAUCUUUGCCCGACAAUUUUGGUUUCAACUGCUUCGGUCAAUUGGGCUUCAGUCCCUUGCCCGUGGGCAUGGGGAACGUUUUGAAAACUGGUGGAGGACUCGAAGUUCUCAACUUGUAGGGUUGCAUCAAAAGGGCUUCAAUUCCUUAGUUAUUCUAGGGGCUUGGGUUAUUUGGAAACAUAGAAAUAGAUGCGUGUUUGAUGGGGCUGGCCAAAUGUGGCAGCGACGCUCCUAGCUGCUAAAGAGGAGGUCUUAGGAUGGUGUUUAGCAGGAGCUAAGGGGCUGACCUUUCUCCAGGUUUUUGACCCUGUCCCGGAUUGAUAAAUAGCUCUCAGGCAGAGAAUAUGUGACCUUGCUCCUAGGCUUUUUCAAUGUAUACCCAGGAUGAUUUCAAAAAGAAGAAUUGUUCGGGAGGCUCUUCUAAAUAGAAAUGGGUCUCCGACAUGAAAGGUGCUCUCUCUAGGAGUUUUGGUGGAUUAUCUACAACCUUGGAACCUUCUUUUUGAGGUAGUGUUGCAGGCUACUAUUGAAGACAGACAUGUUUUCAGUAUUUCCUCAGAUGGUAACUAUUCAGCUAAAGUGGCAUACGAAGGGCUCUUCAUGGGAUGAGUCUAUUUCAGCCACUAUCCCAGGGUGUGGAAAACCUGGGCCCUGCCUAAAUGCAGAUUUUUUCUUUGGCUCACUGCGCAUAACAGGUGGUGGACUGCUGACAGGUUGGCCAAAAGAGGGCUUGAUCACCCACCAAAAUGCCCCUUAUGUGACCAAGAGGAUGAAACCUUAGACCAUCUCUUGGUCGCCUGUGUUUUCUGAAGGGAUUUCUGGUUUCAGCUCCUGAGGACUUUCGACCUUCAAGUGCUAGCCCCUCAGCCUGGUUUGUCUUCCUUCAUGAGCUGGUGGGAAGAAGCUUCUUAUUCGGUCAGGGGUCUUGUUAGAAAGGAGCUCAAUUCUCUUAUUGCAUUCGGGGCCUGGAUUAUUUGGAAUCUUCGCAACAAAUGCAUCUUUGAUAAUUGGAACCCUAAUGUGUCUUUAGCCAUUAGGAUGGCUACAGAGGAAAGAUGGAUGUGGGAAAUGGCCAGGGCUAAAGGCCUUUCCUACCUAUGUGCCCCUCUCCUUGAGGCUUAGUCUUAGAGGGGGUUUUAGGCUAGUAGUUGGGUGCUGUCCUCUUAUGGAUUCUUUUGGGUUUCUGGUUUUUAGACCUCUGUAAGGAAGUCUAAAUUUUUGUUGUACCUGGUCUUGUUAGACCUUUUUAUCUCCUUAAUAUAAUGGGGCGCAGUUCUCCUGCGGUUUUCGAGAAAAAAGGUAGUGGGUGAGUUCAGUUUGUUGGCUUUUGUACUGUUCCUUUGAGGGUUCUUUUCCCCUCGUUUUUUCUCUUCUUAAUAUAAUGAUACACAACUCUCCUGCGUGUUUUAGAAAAAAAGGUGUUUAGUAACUCAAACUCCUCGAAUAACAAACUAGUUUUACAUUGAGGUCCCGUUUGUUUCUUUUCAUUUUGAGGAAUUGAAAUCUUACUAUUGUAAUAGGCUAUUUUUUUAGAAUGCGACAUUCCACCACUUUCCAAAGUUAUCAUAUAAGCCUAUCUCAAAUUCAUGGGGUGAGAAAUGAAAAUUGAUUCUAUAGAUUUACAUGUUAUUUUUUCGAUGUACAACUUAUAGCACACUCUUCUACUUGCUUAGUUAUAACAUGAAUGUAGUAUAUAACUAUCUCUCUCAUAUGGUUUAAGAUAAUAUAUAAAUAUAUUACAUAUAUAAAUAUAUGAACUUAAUUAGUUUUGUCUAAAUUAUAAUUAUUAAAAUAGAAUUCAAUUCCAACGAAACAAACGGGGCCUGAGGGUAUUUGUCAACUGAUAGUGUUCCAAUCGGAAACUCUUUGCCACCAACCUUCACAAAAACUCUCACAUCCUCAUUCCCCUUAUUAUCCUGUAAUGCUAUCUUAAAAGACAAAUAAUUGAAAAGUAAAAAAAGGAACUCCACAAAAAUAAUGUAAACCAAUAGUGAUCAUUACUAGUAGUAGGUCACACUUCACUGUGGCUCCAGUUCUGCCUACAACUCCUGGAAAUGUUAGCAUGCCUUUUGAUCUCUACUCCUUUAAAAGGAGAGUUUCGUGCGUCGUUAGACUUUUCAUGCGUCGUACCACAUGCUACCCUCCCCCCUGCUCGCUAUGGCGAGACGGCCGUUCCCGCCCCCACCUCUAAGAUUGUCGUCGUCCUUUACCGCCGCGUCCCUUUCCUCCCAUGGAGUACGCACCCUCCUCGCUCGCUUUCGUCGUCCACCGCCUGUCCGUCUCGCAUCUCCCACAGAAACCAUCUCGCCUAGGCAGCGAGGCCCGCGUCACCAUCGUCGACGUCAGGGACGAGGAGAGGGGUUACGACAGCCACAUCGUGGGGUUCCACCACUACGCCAACGACACCUAUGCGGAGCGGAUGCCUGAGCUCGCCUAGGCAACUGAGGCCAAGGAAACCCUCGACUUCCACUGCGCACUCAGCAAGGCUGCCAGAUGGAUCUCUUAUGGAUAUUGUUUUAAGUCUACCCACUUGAUGUUGUCUACGAUUUCCCUGAAGAUGUCAAAUCGAACAAAAGAUGUGCAGGUGCAUCAAACUGGACAGUAAAGGACAUUGUUGAAUCAGUGAGGAAUGAAUUUGGUAGCAUUGACAUAUUAGUGCAUUCUCUUGCCAAUGGCCCAGAGGAUCUUCUGUUUUUGGCUUGUAGUCAUCUAGAUAACAGAACUACAAUGACUAGAGUGUCCAGAAUGGAUUUUGGAGAUUUUGAUAUCUAACCAUGAGGAUGUGGAGGCAACAAUUCAUUGUGCGGAGUGACUCUCAAUGGUUGGACGAUCUUGCACUGGAGGCCAAAGGAUCAGGUGGUCCCUUCACUCUUAAAAAGCUGUAGGUUAGCUAGAUAUCGUGGUGAACUUCGGGCUACAUCUUCAAAGGCUGCUACUGAUGAAGUGGUGCUUGCAAAAACAACUCAACAAACUGCAGACCAAGAAGUGGGUGCUACAAUUUCAGCAACCCGUAUAACAACACAAUAUCAGCAGGAACAGCUGACUGUCAGCCAUGAAACGCUGACUACACUUUCAGCAGGAACUCCACCACGCAUGAAAGGAUGGCUAGUUAAAAAAUCACCCCCAAGAAGAAGAAAGUGUGAAGUAUUUGUGUUUUGUGUGUGAACUGAAAUCUGGGAACUAUGUAUCUGUGGUUUGUGUCUGUGUACUGAAAUCUGGGAACUGAAACUAUGUAUGUGUGGUUUCUGUGUGUGAACUGGAACUGAGUCACAGAACUAUGUAUCUGUGAUAUGUGUGAACUGCAAUCUGAAAUUGUCAGUUUAUUGCUGAA